rnacentral:lncRNA from 1 species
GGUUCCCGCCUGCGCCUCUCCCUCCACACCGCCUUGCAAGCUGAGGGAGCCGGCUCCGGCCUCUGCCAGCCCAGGAAGGGGCUCCCACAGUGCAGCGGCGGGCUGAAGGACUCCUCAAGUGCCACCAAAGUGGGAGCCCAGGCAGAGGAGGCGCCGAGAGCGAGCGAGGGCUGCCUGCCAGCACGCUGUCACGUCUCAGCAAUAGACUGCUCUUGAGAGUAACUCUAUUGCAUCCAGUGGUGUAAUUCUCAAUUCAUA